UACGUAGGGCGCAAGCGUUGUCCGGAAUUAUUGGGCGUAAAGAGCUCGUAGGCGGUUUGUCGCGUCUGUCGUGAAAGCCCACGGCUUAACCGUGGGUCUGCGGUGGAUACGGGCAGACUAGAGGCAGGUAGGGGAGAAUGGAAUUCCUGGUGUAGCGGUGAAAUGCGCAGAUAUCAGGAGGAACACCGGUGGCGAAGGCGGGUCUCUGGGCCGAUACUGACGCUGAGGAGCGAAAGCGUGGGGAGCGAACAGG
rnacentral:rRNA from 1 species